GACAUUAUAGGGUGACUUUUUAAUUUGGAUAUUUUUAUUCUCUUAAGUUUUUUUUCCUUGUUGAAUAACUUCAUUUUAAUAAUUUUUCCCAAGUCAUGCUUUGCUUUACAACCUAACCAUCCACAAGCAUUGUCAAGCCUUGGCAGCAUAUACAUGGAUUGCAACAUGAUGAGUGUUCCUGCAUCAUUCUAUAAGGCAACUUUAGCAGUUACAACAGGGAUAUCUGCGCCCUUCAACAACUUGGCUAUUAUAUACAAGCAACAGGUAGAGUACUAUAUCUGCCUUUUUCAUUGCAAUCAUGUACUAACAACAUGUUCAUUGCCAUCACGCCCUCGCAAUCAUGCUUGGUUUUUUGUCAAACAGUUGGCUACAGCACUUUAAUGUUUUAACAGGAUACAGUUAGAAUGCCAUCUAGAUUGCUAUGAGAUUGAAGUGAGAAGGAUCAUCAGUGAUGGAUGGUCGUUGACCAUUUAGUGCAACUACCUCUCAUUUUAGUGGGGAAGCAUCUACAUUGGCUUUGACAAAUACAGUUUAAAAUAUUUUAUUGGAUCAAACUUUUCUUAGGGAUAUGAAUUCCAGUUUACUAUGUGGAAUUUUUGUAAAAAUCACUUCUCGCUUUUAUUUCUUCCUUAUUCAAUCAUGAGAUUUUUGUCUGUUUAUAUUGGCAAGAUACUUCGGCUAAUUUUGUUAAUUUGGUAGAUACUAGGCAGCACCUACACAGCUACACUGCUAGUUCAACCUUUGCUUCCUGUGUGGAUAUUCAAUCAUGAGAAUUGCUGCUUUCUUCUAGUUCUUCACAGACUGUUGUUGAUGGUCUUGUCAAUAGAGGGAACACAUUUAAGGAGAUUGGUAGAGUUGCUUCAAGGAGAUUGGUAGAGUUACUGAAGCAAUUCAGGAUUAUAUAUGUGCUGUGAAUAUCAGACCAACUAUGCCUGAAGCCCAUGCAGAUUUGGCUUCAACUUACAAAGAUAGAUUACAAUUCUCAAGUACUCCAGAGUUGAAAUUGAUGAAGUGCGGUUCGAGUGGAUUGAA